rnacentral:rRNA from 1 species
GAGGGGAGCUUGCUCCCCAAGUUAGUGGCGGACGGGUGAGUAACACGUGAGCAACCUGCCCUUCGGAGGGGGACAACAGCGGGAAACUGCUGCUAAUACCGCAUAACGUAUCCUGGAGGCAUCUCCGGGAUACCAAAGAUUUUAUCGCCGAAGGAUGGGCUCGCGUCUGAUUAGAUAGUUGGUGGGGCAACGGCCCACCAAGUCUGCGAUCAGUAGCCGGACUGAGAGGUUGAACGACCACAUUGGGACUGAGAUACGGCCCAGACUCCUACGGGAGGCAGCAGUGGGGAAUAUUGGGCAAUGGGGGCAACCCUGACCCAGCAACGCCGCGUGGAGGAAGAAGGCUUUCGGGUUGUAAACUCCUUUGACGAGGGACGAUGAUGACGGUACCUCGAAAACAAGCCACGGCUAACUACGUGCCAGCAGCCGCGGUAAUACGUAGGUGGCAAGCGUUGUCCGGAUUUACUGGGUGUAAAGGGCGCGUAGGCGGGCAGGCAAGUCAGAUGUGAAAUCUCCGGGCUCAACCCGGAAAUUGCAUUUGAAACGGCAGGUCUUGAGUAUCGGAGAGGCAAGCGGAAUUCCUAGUGUAGCGGUGAAAUGCGUAGAUAUUAGGAGGAACACCAGUGGCGAAGGCGGCUUGCUGGACGACAACUGACGCUGAGGCGCGAAAGCGUGGGGAGCAAACAGG